rnacentral:tRNA from 1 species
GCCUGGGGGGCUCAGUCGGUUGAGCGUCUGACUUCAGCUCAGCUCGUGAUCUCAUGGUUCGUGGGUUCAAGCCCCACGUCGGGCU